AAAAAAAAAAAAGAAAAGAAAAAAUUCCCUAAUUAGACUAAAUCUGGGUAGAGAUAAAAUAUUUGUAUUUUCCCCACACCAUUAUUUAAUGCUCCUUAUUGAAUUGUAUUUAUCAGUCAUCAAAAAAAUUCAAAAAUUAGUGCAUGAAAAUACUGUGUAUGUGGACAGUCUUAUCAUUUUAGAUGGGUGAGUGACCCUGACAAGGCCUGAGCCCAGACACAUAGGGAUUCAGGCUUCCUUCUCCAGGGCCACUGUUCCCCACCACCUAUAAGAGCUGCUUACUCCUGCUCUAACAUCAAGUCUGUGAACUUGCAUAUUUGAUGCUACCGGAGUUCUUGCUGUGGCUCAGUGGUAAUGAACCCAACCGGUAUUCAUGAAGAUGCAAGUUCGAUCCCUGGCCUCACUCAGUAGGUUAAAGGAUCCAGCAUUGCUGUGAGCUGUGCUGUAUGUUGCAGAAGCGGCUCAGAUCUGGCAUUGCUGUGGCUGUGGUAUAGGCCAGCAGCUGCAGCUCCAAUUGGACCCCUACCCUAGAAACUUUCAUGCGCCACAGGUGUGGCUCUAAAAAGGAACAAGAAAAAAAAAAUCCAUGAAUGAUGCUACCUCUAAAGAAUUAAUUAGUAAAGAAGGAAGCUAACUACCUUUUGAAGAAUAAGAUCAUCUCAGAAUACAGAAUAAGCUAAACUAUAUCAGAGGCAUUUUAAUUAUUUUUUCCCAGGAGCUAAUAAGGGAGUACCUCCAGAAAUUAACAUCCUUUAAUUCCAGCUCUGUAACUUAUUUCAAAAGGGAUACAAUUUGCAGGGUUCUGGGGUCUCAUGCCAGAGACCCCAUGUAUUACUUAACUAAUUUUUACAGGAAUCAAACCCAUAAUUUUGACCUUAUCAUUAAAAUCUGAAACGCACUCUCUUCCCCAGUCUUUGAGCAGCUUCGGUAAAAUUCAGAAUGAAGAGAUGGCUUAAAUGGCUAUUAGGAGAUAGGAAUCAGAGUCCUGAUUCCUACAAGAUGCCAACAAAGGCUAUUAGGUAUUUGUUAAAGCUCUAUUUGAAAGAACAAGCAUUUAUCUAUAAACCAAAAGAAAAUUAUCUAUGUUAUAUUUUAAAUACACAUCUUAAUUAAUUUAGUUAAUUUAUAAAGCUGAGAUUCUAUAAUCUACUCAAUUUGAAUUCUUGGAUGUGCUCCUUUAAAUUACAAUUUGCUGAAAGCCAUCUUGCCUGCAUUGGGAGUCUAGCAAAUUUAGUGAAAGUUCUUUGAUAAAAAAAAAAAAAAUUAAAUAAAUUAAAAAAAGAAUCUGGGCAAUAGGAGUUCCCGUCAUGGCACAGUGGUUAACGAAUCUGACUAGGAACCAUGAGGUUUCGGGUUCGGUCCCUGCCCUUGCUCAGUGGGUUAACGAUCCGGCUUUGCCGUGAGCUGUGAUGUAGGUUGCAGACGCGGCUCGGAUCCUGUGUUGCUGUGGCUCUGGCGUAGGCUGGGGGCUAUAGCUCCGAUUAGACCCCUAGCCUGGGAACCUCCAUAUGCCACGGGAGCGGCCCAAGAAAUAGCAACAACAACAACAACAAAAGACAAAAAAAAAAAAAGAAUCUGGGCAAUAAACAAAAAAGGCAUUUAAAACACAUGCAACUUACUAUAACAUUUUGUCAUAUGGCAAGGGGGUAGGAUGAGCGAGUUUAGCCCACAAAAGUUAUACAUUUGUAUUUAUGCCUUAAAAUGAAGGAAAAAAGCACAAAAGCCAAAGAAACCACCUCUCCCAAGUGUCAACAUACUAUUGCUUCAGAUAAACACAACUCUAUUUUUCUAAUAUUUAAAUAAUAAAAAUGAUGCCAUGUCCAAGCUACCAGUGGUUUGGUUUUCUUGAAUACAGAGUUGGAAAAGAGACCUGGAAGCACACUCACUUCAAAAUUAAAGGGUAAAAAACCAAAGUCAAAUUCCAUUUCUAGAUUAGUGUUCCAAUGGCUAUUAAGAGAUAGGAAUCAGGAGUCAGAUUUCAAGAUGCCAACAUCUGAAAUCUGGAAUUCACUAUAUUUUUUUAUAUAAAAAAUGAAACUACAUUAACAUCUGCUAUUCAGAAUACAAAAUUUAAGUUGUGACAUGAACUGAAUUCUUACUUUUAAGGUGAACUUCCAGUCCUUUCCAUUCACAAAUAGGACUUGAUUUAUUAAGUUCCCUGCUUUGUAUCUCCAGAGUUGAUCAAAGCACAUUUUCUUAGUACAAUCUGUAUUGUUCCAAGUGUUUUAUAAACAUCUUUUGUGAGGGUUUACAGGAGGGAUCUGAAAUCAUAUCCAAGGUUUCAUCCUAUGAGUCAGUUAUUCUUGAAAGGAAACAGAAUCUCUGUUUUUAUCACCUUUAUUUCCCUACUUAACACAAAUGUAAUUCUAAUCGCAAAUUUUAAAAAAAUAAUUAGCAGGACUGUCAUUAAAUAACUAAGUAGGGCAAUGGUUUAAAAAAAAAAAAAAAAAAAAAAGGAAAAGGCAUAAUUUUCUUACCUGGACAUGAAAACUCUGGGUCUGUACAACAUGUGAAUGCUCACAACAGUUCCUCUGCCAGUAAGGUCACCUCACAAAGCCUGUCUACUAUCGAGCCUUAUACCACUAACUCCCAAAUCCUUAUUUCCUGCCCUCACCUGAGAUCCAAACUGUCCAUCCGGCUGCCUGCUGAACAUGUUCGCCUGAAUGCACUCAAGCAGCUAUUUCCUGAUUACCUACUAUGUGCCAAGUAUAGUAUGCUGGGCUCCGGAGGGUUCAGAGUAAAGAAAACAAGACAGCAUCUGUUUCUUCUAAUUGUGAAGAAAGCCAAACCCAUCACAGGAUCAUAAAAACAUGCAACACACAAACUGUGAUUAGUUCUAUGUCUCAUCUGGUCAAAACUAAACUCAGUUUACUCACUGCCCUCCACUCUGCUAGGCCCCGAACCCCUAUUCUUGGGUGGAAACAGUGCCGUCACAGGUCGCCAGCGUCACGAAUGCGGAGGCAUUCUUAAUCCCCCCAUCCUCCUCAGUCUUCUCAAAGUCGCUGUUCCCAGAGUAGAUGUGCAUGGUUGGCUCCGCCCAGAACCACCUUCCCCCACUUCUUCUGGGAACCCCCAGUGUGAUGGUGACCCCAGUGCCUGGGGAAGGCACAAAACCUAAGGCCAAGAGAGCCCCUGGGACCUUAAAAACUGAAGCUGGGAGAGAGCACCUCCUUCCUCCUCUUGGCUGCAGAGCAUGAAGACAGCCCCUGCCCUGUGGGGAAGCCUGAGGGGCCAGCGAUGGGAGCCAGAGUCCCUGUGAUGAGCGACCUCUUCUAAACCCGGGAGUGCCCGGGGUUGCCCUGGUUUGUGCCGCAUUUCAUAACUUUCAUGAACUUCUCCAGGAACCUUCCAGUGAAUCCCCUUAUAAUUUAAGCUAUUUUGAGAAGGGGUUUGUUACUUGUAGCCAGGAUUCCUGACAAAUAGCUCCUACACGUUUCCGGCCUGUCUUAUCCAACUCUGCCACAAGUGCCCCAGCUCAGGUCCUCAUCAACUCUUACUGGACUAGGGGAGCAGCCUAAUGGGUCUCUGUCUCUGGGCUUGGCCCUGACAUCCAGCAUUCGUAAUACAGUGGCCAGAAGAGCCACAUCACCCUCCCCCUGCUGGACAGUGGCUCCAGCAUCAAUAUGGACAAACCACAGAAUGGGGAAAAAAAACUCUACAAUUCAUAUUAUCUGACAAGGAUAUAUGUGAGGGGGUGCUCAUGUGUGCGUAUCUAGAAUAUACAAGAAAUAUUAUAACUCAACAAUAAAAAGGCAAUCCAAUUUUUAAAAUGAGGAAAGAAUUUGAAUAGACAUUUCUCUAAAAAAGAUAUACGAAUGGCCAAGAAACCCAUGUUCAACAUCAUUAGCCAUGAGGGAAAUGCAAAUCAAAACUACCGUGAGAUACCCUUUACACCCACUGCAAUGGCUACUAUGAAAAGCAAAACAAAACAGGGUAAUAACACAUGCUGGCAAAGAUGUGAAGAAAGUGGAAUCCUCUAACUUGCUGAUGGUAAUGCAAAAUAGUACAGCCACUUGGGAAAACAGUUUGGCAGUCCCUCAACAAGCUAAAUAUAGCAUCACCAUGAGACCCAGCAAUUCUACUCCUAGGUAUAUAUCCAUGGACGUGACAGCAGAUGUCCACCCAAAACCCUGUGCAUAAAUGUUCACAGCAGCACUAUUCAUUUAAUAGCCCCAACAGGGAAAGCAACCAAAUGGCCCUCGGUGGAUGAAUAAACAAAAUGUGGUAUGUCCACUCAAUAGAGCAUUAUUUGGCAAUAAAAAAGGAAUUCUGACACAUGCUACAACAUGACUGAACCUCAAAAACAGGCUAAGUGAAAGGACUCAGAUGCAAAAGAUCACACAUAUGGUAAGAUUCCAUUUCUAUGAAUAAAUGCAUAGACGUAGAAAGCAGAAUGGUGGUUGCUAGGGGCUAAAGAGAGGGAAGAAUGGAAAGAGACUGCUACUGGGGAUGGGGAUUCUCUUUGGAGUGAUGAAAGGGUUCUGGAAUUAGACAGGGGGGAGCGGUGCACAAUUCUGUGAGUAUACAAAAAUCCAGAAUUGUAUGCUUCAUCAGGUGAACUUUAUGGCAUGUGAAUUACACCUCAAUAGAGCUAUUAUGGGAAAAAAAAUGACUGCACAAAAUCAUAGAGUGACACCUCUGUGCAGGAGGUGGGGGUGGGGCUGACUGAAUCACUUGGCCAGCUACAAAAUAACCUGUCGUAAAAAAAACACAGUCUCUUCAAAGGAAAAUGAUUUGUUUUCCUACCACCAAAUCCCUAUAGCGACCAACCAUAAAUCAAAUCCAAAGUAAAAAGAGGAAAGAACAAGAGAGCCCACAAACUGUAAUUCGCUGGCAGGUAUGAAAUGGAAUUAACCAAAGACUGCACAAAGAAAAAAUGUUUAUCAGAACUGCUCACUUCCCUCUGAUUACACAGAUUUAAACAAGUCAAAGUCCUUCUUAACUAAUGAGAAAAUGUGCCAGCUUCUUUAUUAGCAGAGAGCAAGGAAACACAAGCAUUCUCUCCGUAUAACAGAAUUAACAUCCCACAGCAGGUCUGUUUGUACUUGGCCGUCAUGAACCUUUCAUCUCAGAGCGCUGCUAAAUUAAACAAGCCUAUGUUGUAUUGAACACAAUGAGCCAGACGCCCUGGCAGGCUCCGAAACUUCACCAGUUAAUGUUGAAGAACAUUAGAAAUAAAGAAGAUGCUUAAGAACGAUGGUGAUGGUGGUAUAAAGCAGCUGUGUCUUCAUUCCACCCCACAUUUCACUUGCCCACAGUAAUGGAAACAUUCUUACAACCACAAGGCUCUCUGGUGUACACAAGAAGGAGAGAUCUGGAUUCAAGUCAGGGGCUUUCUUUUUUAACAUACUAACUGAGGGCCCAAGGACACAUCUCGAAACAGAGGCCUUCUCGUCUCCAAAACUGGGGUGACUUUAUCUAGGCUCACAGAGUCGCCACAAGAACCAGAUGAGAGAACCUCAAGGUAGAGCCUGGUGCUCAAAAUGCACAUCCCCCCCAUAAAAAUCCUCCCUGCUCUCAACUCUUCAAUGCAAAUACUCAUUCUGGAGCUUGCAGCAUAGUGUAAGUACUUGACAUGAGCCAUGCUUUUCUAUUCCAGGGACAUUCAAGGAACCAAAAGAUCCUAUGAAAAUUCCAUGUGAAUUACUCCCCCUCCCACAGAACCCAAAGCAAGAAAGCCAUCACUAAAGUCUGUCUUAAAUGUAUUAAGUCAGGGCUCGACACAAAGCAUUCAUUCACCUAGGAGGUAUUUAAGAGCAAUGAACUGAGAAAGACACACCAAGAGAAACACUUACUAUUAGAGACAAAUGCUAUUUUUCAGCACAGUAAUUGGUAACCUUUCCAUAAAGAUUGAUGCAAUCUGAUUCUAAUUCCCUCGUGUCAGUAAUCAGUUCUUAAGGUAAAAGAAAAAGGAAGUGGGAUGGUUUCAAGUGCUCCAGAAAAGGUGUAGGAGGAUAUCCUUUCCCACUGACAGCAAUUAACGUUUGAGUGACGGCUGCUAGAACAUUCAGACUGGAAAACUUUGUUCCAUUAGAAUAGACAAAUCUGCUUAAAACUAACUGGGUUUAACAGACACAAACAUAACCCUCACCAUGAACUAGGCAUCCUCUCUGAACAAACUGGCACAAAGGUAAAGCCUGCUAGGAACUCCCUACUUGUCAGUACAAAGCAAUAAGCUGCGCUCCCCUGUCGGAAGUCUAUUAAGGAGCGCAUCUAGACUCUGCAGGAGCAGACAGACAGACUCCCCCGGCCCAGCUCCUCACAGAGUUACAUCAUGCCACAACACCUGCAGAGCUUCCAGGGUCAGCAAGGAAGGGAAAGUCUCAAGGGGGAUGGGACAUUCAGAGGCUGCUGCUAUCUAUCCCCAGGGGGUUUCACUAAGCACCACAGUUAUGAUGGAAAUUACAGCCCAAAGCUACAGUUCGCUACCUCUCUUUCCAAAACUCUCCCCUUAAGACUCUUGAGUUAAUAAAAGCUCUGAGAGACCAACUCAUUAGGGAUACUACAGAAGCAGGGUUGGAGUGCUGGCUUUGCUAGGGAGCUGUUAGCCAUACCACGUAUAAGCACUUAACAUUUUUUUGCCCUCCUACUGCAGUUCUGCACUCCCCCCGAACCAGAACCCAGCUUCAUCUGAAUACUCUACCACCACCAACCCUGUAUAUGAAGACAGACCUUCUCCUCUCUCCAACUUUCCAAUCAAAUAACCACUUACACUGGCAGUCUACACUUUAAGCUUUAUGCCUAAAAUAGGAAGAAACUGUUGCAAAUGUACAAAAUCCAACCCAUUAAAUACAUAAGAAUGUCUUAAAGUCUGUUUAAAUACAGUAUAAAAUUUUUUUACAAAUGCAGUUAAGAGGAGAAAUAAAUGAUAAAAUCUUAAUUUUAAUUAGGUCUCCAGUUUAAACUACUACUAGCAAUCCCUCACUUUCCAGGAGUAUUUUUAGAAUUCAAAUUUAAAAGCAUGCAAUUAAAGAAAUUGACUCAUCGUGAAAUGAAAGCUACCAUAGAGGCAAAGUCCUAUAUACUGCAGAAAAGAGGCACAAGAACUUAGAACUGUGGUUGUUUUAGAAAACAAAUACAAGAUCAUACCAUUAGCCACAAUAACAUAUCAGAGGGUAAAGGCCAGGAAAUCUAAUAGACCCUACUAAAGAAAAUUCAGUAAUUUCCUUUCAUGUCUGCAUAGAUUUAACUUUAGGCUAUUUAUUAAAGGUGCUAAGAAAAUUAAAGUACAAAUAAAAAUUGCUAGAGGAUUAUUUAACACAUUUAAAAUUUUUUACAAGCAAGUAACUGCUGUUAAAAUACCAUUUUAAGCUAGCUCAUGCAUUCUUUAGAAUUCCAUAUUCCAGUGGAAACAAAAUGUAUGAAAAAAGAGUCCACAACAUUGCUUGAAUCUAUUAGAUAAUUGUUCCAUCCUCUCUAUUUAUUUUGGCUGUGAAAAACCGGUUAGGAGUCAGAAAAGCUUAAUAGGCAGGAUACUGGGCAAAGAUUUAUACAUUCUUCUUAACUGCUGGCAAUCUAUUAUUCUACUUUUAUUUUUAAUACCUGCUAAAACGUACAAUUAAAAUAUAAUUCAAUAUAAUUCAAAAUGUAUUUGGGGGCAUUUAUUUUAUCCUUGCCCUCAAAUAACAUAAUGGAAAAGUAUUCCCAUGCCUAUAAUAUGAAACAUAAAUAGGAUUCUUUAGUAAGAUCUAGUACCUCACCUACUUCAGACACUUCCUUUGCCUUUUACAGCAAUAACAAAAAACAAAUAAACAAAAGCACAGAUUUAAAACACAGUGGUAUAUGUGAUUCUGAAAAGAAACAGGACAUAGUCCCAAGCAACGGUCCAAAAAAAUCACAAAAUGUUAUGGUAGCAAGUGUCACUACAAUCAUGUAGGUCCAGAUUUAGGUGCACUUAAAAAUGAAAGAUGCCAGUUUUCUUCUCCAAGAAAUUAAAUUUCUUAAUGAAAAUUUAAGGUACUUCUCAUUUACAUCUUAAUCCUAACUGAACAAUGAUGAUAUUUGCCCAUCAUUAAUUCCUUCAAAAAUGAUGUCAGCAUCUGCCACGUCUGCACCAGAUAUCCUAUCUGUUGCUGGAUACAAGCUGGUAAGUAAAACACUCGGUCCCAGGCUCGACAAUGUUAACUUGGAGUGAAAAGAAAAGUACCCACAUGAAAAGCGAUCUAUGCUGUAAGAAGAGGCAUUUUAUAUCAAGGAAAAAGAGAUGAAUUUUAAUUGGUUUUUUAUUUUUUUUACUAAGUCAAAGAACAAACAGUAAGUCAAUGACUAAGUUGGUUGGUGUCUGUUUCAUGUGAGACCUUCCUUAAGGAACUCUUAUUUAACUGAAAUAAAAUAUAAAACAAACAUAAAAUUAGAGCUCACAUUCAUAUCAGAAAUUGGCAAAAUCCUUCGGCCAGAUGAGACCUAACUAAUAUCAAUAGUCCCAGGUUUACAUGUGAAGGCAUAUUCACAGAAGUCACUAAUACCGCAUUAUCACCCACGGGUGUAAAUCACAUUCUGUAUGCUAUUCUGCAAGUGGGCUCCUGUUUGAAAGAUGAUAAGUUAGUUUUGAAAGCUUCUCUAAGCUCCACCACAAUAAAAAAACAAAGGUAUUGCUUUUGGGAGUUCCCGUUGUGGCUCAGUGGUUAACUGACUAGGAACUGUGAGGUUGUGGGUUCCAUCCCUGGCCUUGCUCAGUGGGUUAAGGAUCCAGUGUUGCGUGAACUGUGGUGUAGGUCGCAGACGUGGCUCGGAUCACACGUUGCUAUGGCUCUGGUGUAGGCUGGCAGCUACAGCUCCGAUUAGACCCCUAGCCUGGGAACCUCCAUAUGCCAAGGGAGCAGCCCUAGAAAUGGCAAAAAAAGAAAAAAGCCAAAAAAAAAAAAAGAGGUAUUGCUUUCUAUAAGGGAAAACUUUCACUACCAAAGAUAGUUACCAAUAAUUUUAAAACAUUCAUAAUGAGUGAAUCAGGUCAACAGACCUAAAAACAAACUCCAUAGAGUUUAAUAUUUUCAUCACAUUUAAAAUCCAAGAGUAUGUCUCACGCACAAGAAACAUAGGUAUGUUCUCAAUACGGAAAUUCCUCAGGUAAGGAGGACUAUCGAGAGUGAAAGGUCUUUAAAACAUAAAACGUUUACUCCAG
rnacentral:lncRNA from 1 species